UAGGUCAGUGAUGCAGUUUGUUUUUUCGAGUCUCUUGACCAUGAGACAUUAACAUGCAAUACCAUCUGAGACCUA